UUUUUGAAAUUUUUAUUUAUAAAAGGUUCAUCCUGCCCAGUGAUAUUUUAACGGCCGCGGUAUCCUGACCGUGCAAAGGUAGCAUAAUCAUUUGCCUCUUAAUUGGAGGCUAGUAUGAAUGGACAAACGAAACUUAUCCUGUCUCUUAUUGCUCUAUAAAAAUUAGCUUUUAGGUGAAGAGACCUAAAUACUUUAAAAAGACAAGAAGACCCUAUUGAGUUUUACAUUAUAACUACCGUUUAGCUUACUGUUUGGUUGGGGCGACCAGGGAAAUUCACUCUCCUCCCUUCCUCUUAAGACCCUUAGUCCUUAAAAAUGACCCUUUAUUGAUCAUCAGAAUUAACUACCAUAGGGAUAACAGGCUUAUUUUCUCUGAGAGUUCAUAUUAAAGAGAAAGUUUGGCACCUCGAUGUUGGCUUAGGGUAACUCUUAAAUGCAGUAGUUUAAAAAAGUUAGUUUGUUCAACUAUUAAAUCCCUACGUGAUCUGA
rnacentral:rRNA from 1 species